rnacentral:rRNA from 1 species
UACGAACCGUCCAAACGUUAUUCGGAAUCACUGGGCUUAAAGAGUCCGUAGGCGGCCAAUUAGGUGAGGUGUGAAAUCCCCCGGCUUAACCGAGGAAUUGCGCUUCAAACCGACUGGCUAGAGGAAGAUAGAGGAAAGCGGAACUGAUGGUGGAGCGGUGAAAUGCGUUGAUAUCAUCAGGAACACCGGUGGCGAAAGCGGCUUUCUGGGUCUUUUCUGACGCUGAGGGACGAAAGCUAGGGGAGCGAACGGG